AAUGAGAAAGGCGGGGAGAAGAGGCAGCUUGUGUGGGAAAGUUUUUUUGGGGCGGGGGGAAGAAGAAGAAAAAGACGACGACGUUUAAAGAGUGAAAAUGCAUUCCUUGAAAGUGCAAUUACAUCUUCUGAAAGAAAACAAGAUGACGACAACAGAUAGAGGCGUCCAUCGUUUUUCCAGCCCCUGGAGGAAGCACAAUAGCAGGUGACUAACUCAAGCACACAUUGACACUGUCAGCCUAAAGGAUAAAAAACAUUACUGGCAUAGUCUGUGUUGUUCGGUACUAUGGUUGGCCCUUUUUUAUCACAGUUCCUUGGUUCAUUUACACCAAGCAGGAUUCAAUAUUAAUACAUGGAAUAUUUUCAUAGUUGGAGCAUAGAAAACCUGUUUAUAAUCGUCAAAAUACGGGUUUUAACAUUAUUAGAGCCCUCAAGACAUGAACUAACACCCCUAUUGUCCCCUUUACAUUUGUAUUACACAAUAUAGUAGAUAUAAUCAGAGAAAAUAAGACAUAUUGGACAUAAAUUAGACAUAAGAUACUCGCACUUUAGCAGUUCCUUGUUAUUUUUUCUGAGCAGCAUUCUUCCGCCAUUACAAUACAUCAGUGUAUUGUAAUGGCGGCUUGACAUGGCUUUACACUGGUAAAUAAGCCAUUUAAGACAUAAAUAAAGCCCCUCCCCGAAUAGUAAAUGUGUUCCAUAAAUGCUUAAUUUAGGCCAAGAAUGAGUACACAGUGCUUCAAUAUUCAUAUUUUUUUUACUAAUAAUAGUGACACGAAUCUAGUGACUGUCUAAUUGGACAAUUACUGACACCUACUGGCCAAUGUAGACUACUACAUUCACAAUAACAAUACUUCUCCUGCCUUGUAUUUGUAUUUUAGUUAAUUGAGCUAUUUUUAUGCUUGAAAAUGCUUAAUUGAGGCCAAGAAUAAGUACAGUGUGCUCCAAUAGGAAUUUUUUUUACUAAUAGGCCGUAUUCAACCACAGAGCAGCGAUCAUUUAUUAAUUAAUUGCUUGUUGAAAAUCUGUGAUUAAGUGAGGGAGCGAUGUUGGAACCGUGAUGUAUCAAAUGAUGAGUGUACUACACAUUCUGUAGGACGUUUCCGCAGCAAAAUAAAGUGUCUAUAUUACGUUUGUCUUUUCAUGCACUCAUCAACCAAGAUGCACCAAAGUGUUGAAUUGUUUAUGGACAAAUGCAUUGGGAGUUGGAUGACAUUUGUGAUCUUUGAAGCUUUUUUUGUGUGUAUUUUCUUCACUUUUAACUUCCUGUAGCAUUUGUAGCCUGAUACUUUUGUACAUAAAUUUAUGAGAAGCAAGUUUAUUGUUGUAAAUGUACAACUUUAUUCUAACAUUUGUAACAUGCAUUGCCUGAGACAGCUUUGAAAAAGGGAAAAAGAAAAAAAAAUAAUAAUAAUCAGAGAUUUUGAGAAUGAAGUUGUAAAUUUCCGAGAAUAAAAUAAUAAAAAUAAAUAAAUAAAUUUAAGAGAAGCAAAGUCUUAAAUUAAUCAGAAUUAAGUUGUAAAUUUACAAGAAUAAAGUAUAUUGUCGUAAAUUUACAACUUUAUUCUAACAUUUGUAAGACAGCUAUGAAAAGGGGGGACUUAUGUGACCUUUGGCCUUGGGCAAAGGUAAUUUUGCAACUGCUUUUCUCGCAAAUUUAGGACGUUAUUCUCGUAAAUGUCAGACUUUUUUUCUCAAAAUCUCAGAUUUUUCUUUUCAAUGUGGCCCUAAUACUCUGGUAGAUUUAGAACACGGUAAGUAUCAUGUUUAAAAACGCUCAUGAAAGUGGAUCAUGUGAAACAAGGUAAUGUUAAAAAUGCUCUUGAAAGCGGAUCACAGGAGUUUGCAAUCUAAGAGUGACAUUUGGAUGUUAUCUGGCUGAUUGCAGCUGUUAUCUGUUUGCUUAGUGACUCAUUCACCAAACUCCUGCAGGGAACAUAUUUGCAUAUGCAAAAAAAGAGAGAGGGGUCAAUAAACAAUCAAAAAAAAACCUGUGCAUUGACGCACACAACAACAUUAGGUACACGUGGACCUAAAAGAGCUGCAUCCCAUAUUGUUGUCUCAUUGUCAAUCAAAUUAAAAGCGGUUGCUAAUAGUUGCAGUUCUGAGUUUGUGUUUUUCCACACCGCUUCUUUAUGAUUUUGAUUAAAUGUGAGCUGAGACAGAACCCCUCCUCCUUGGUGGGCGGUAAUUGCAGCACAAAACAAAAACAUUUGAAUGCAUGUGUGUGCUUGUCCCAUCACCUCAGUCAGGUAGCAAAGAGCUAAAGCGUUUCAAGCCAAAGUGUGAGCUCGAUGUUGCUGUUUUAGCUCCCUGCAAAUGUAACUGCACGCUAGAGAAUAGCAAAUAUUGCAGAGCAAAGCCCCUUUGCCCUCCAUUAUCAAAAGGUCUCUUUAAUCACACACACGCACACAGUUCACUCGGCCCCAGAAGAGAUCCAACCAUUAUUAUCUUUUGCGGUGAAUAACAGGGCAUGUAAGAGAAGAAUAACAUUAACACACAGCAGCAACAAAUGCACAGUAUCAAUUGUGACACAUUAGCAGGCCGUCAAGGCAACAGGUAGCGCUGUGAGCCCCUGUCAGACUGUGUUCGCCAAUCAGAAGGCGGGGAAAAAGGGGCGAUAAUAAUAAUAAUAAUAAUAAUAAUAAUAAUAAUGAUAGGGAUUUGAAGAAAGAACCAUGGUGACUCCUGAACAAAACAAUCAACAAAACUCUUAAAGCGGCACGGGGGCCAAGUGGUUAGCAUGUCGGCCGCACAGUCUGGGUUCGAAUCUCCAUCGGGCAUCUCUGUGUGGGGUUUGUACAGUAUGUUCUCCUCGUGCACGUGUAGGAUUUCUCCAGGGUUCCUCCCACAUUCCAGAAACAUGCAUGUUAGGUUCAUUGGCAACUCUAAUUGUCCAUAGGUACUGUAUUAUGUGAAUGGUUGCCUGUCUAUAUGUGCCCUGCGAUUGGCUGGCGACCAGUCCAGGGUGUACCCCGCCUCUUGCCCCAAAUCAGCUGGGAUAGGCUCCAGCAUACCUGUGACCCUAGUGAGGAUAAGCAGCAUAGAAAAUGGAUGGAUGGACUAAGUAGAGGUUUCCAUCAGUAGUAGCUCACCACCUGGUCAAAGAAUGUUACAUAGAUAUGUUAUAUGUUUUAUAUUAAGACAAUGACUACAUCAUUUGAGUGCAGAUGUGCUUUGUAAAUACGAGUUAAAGUACAAGUAAAUGUUGCCAUUCAUGUAAAUAGUAACGUAAGUAGCUCUAAUAGUCAUGUAUGUUGGAGACCCCUGCCUUAUUUAAAAGUUUAAAUGCAUAAAACACACAUUUAACAUACAGUAAUCCCCUUGUUUAUUGAGGUUAGUUGGUUCCAGACCUGUCUGUGAUGAGUGAAUUUCCGUGAAGUUGGAUUCAAUAUUAAUAAAUGCAAUAUUUUCGUAGUUGUGGCAUGGAAAACCUGUUCGCCAUCUUCUAAAUACAGUUUUAACAUUAUUACAGCCCUCAAGACAUGUAAUAACACUCCUGCACUCACCUUUACAUUUGUAUUACCCAAUAUAGUAGAUAUAAUCAGAGAAAAUAAGACAUAUUAAACAUAAAUAAGAUAAUAUUGAUUUUUUUUCUGGACAGUGUACUUCCAGUGUACUUCCUUGUGGCUUUAAAUGGCUUUAAACUGGUAUUACCCAAUAUAGCAGACAGAAUAAGAGUAAACGAGCCAUGUAAGACGUAAAUAAAACUCCUGCUCGAGCAGUGUCACAGUAAAUGUGUUCCCUUGGGAACCUUAGUGACGAGUCUAGUGCCUGUCUCACUGAACACCCACACCUAGAGGCCAAUGUGGAAUACAGUACUACAUUCACAAUUACAAUGCUUCUUCUGCCUUGUCUUUGCAUUUGAGUUCAUUUAGGUGUUUUUAUGCAGGUACAAUUUAAUUAAAUAUGCAUUUUUUCUUGCUAAUAAUAGGUUGUAUUCAACCACAAAACAGUGAUCAUUAAUUAAUUAAUUUCAGAAAAAACACAAGGGAGUGAUAAUCGAACUGCAAUAUUACGAUGGACGACCGUAUACAUUUUUAUCAGUGGUGUGCAGUCUAAACACUAUCUGAAGCACUGACGUACACUUUACGACUUAGAUGCUAUUAUUUGUUCCAUGCAGUUGUAUUAAUUUACUCCAGCAGUCAAUUAUUUUCAUUUAGUAGCAUGUUUCUUGGCUGCACUGCCUUCGAUAGUGGAUGUGAGCAAAACUGGUCUGCCAAGUUGUGCCCACAAUGGCUGACUGAGGACCAUAAAUUGACAUGGCUGGUGAGUAGAUGUAUUUUACUUACUGAUACUGUACUUUUACCUGUAUUUUUGUUGUGAUAUUAUAUAAGUGUUUAUGUUUAAGUGUAGCAAGGCGUAAUGGUAAUAUCACUGGUACUUAACACGGGCGACUAUGGUUUGAGACCCUGGCACGGCCAGUUGAGUCCCCACUGAAGGCCAAAGUACCAUAGCACCGCUCGCCACUGAUUUUUAUGUCUGCGGCCCUGGUCUAUGCCCCUGAUGUUUGCUUUGUUUGCAAAACAUUUGAUUUGAACAUUAAAAAUAAGCUCUUUUCGGUUGAAUGUUAAAUUAUGCAAGUGUAAACAUAUGAUCUACUUCAAUGUCAUUUUGUUAAAGCUGUUAUGAAAUAAACUAUAGCAUUACCGUUACUUGCUAAAAGCAAAGGAGCUACAGCAGCAUCAUUCUAUCAGUGUUUACUUUUAUUAUCCUUUUAUUGUUUUAUUUGCAUUGACGGCUAUAAGCGGCCAGACGGUGAGAUGAUCUUUUGACAAACAUGCGUCACUUGCAGGACCUCAAAACACACAGACUGUUUUUGUGUGUGUGCUUGUGUGUUUGCAUAACCCACAAUUUCAUAACCACAUUUGUUUCCAACUUCCCACUCAACUGCUGGAGCUCAGUAACAUAUACAGAUUUUUUUGCACACACACACACACACACACACGCACUGUUAAAAGUACAUCAUUGUAUCCUCAGGCCUUGUCACCCUUAACCCUUUACUCAAAACAAAAAGUAUGGACUAGAGUUUUUCAAUGCCAAAAGUGGCCUACUUCUUUGAAAGAGCUGUAUACAGAAGACUAGCCAGGAGCUACUGUUCAUCGAUAUUGUAAUCAUUUUGUAAUGACCGACAUUAACUGGCCUGAUGACCUUUAAUACGUUCAUUAUGCAAAUGCUCACGGGCGCAAACAUGCCCACCAUCCUCACUUAGAACUUGGCCAGAUUGUGCUUAUACAAGCAGCCCUGCAGUAGGGUUAGCAUGUUCAUCACCAGCUGUUUGACUGUGUGUGUGUGUGUGUGUGUGUGUGUGUGUGUGUGUGUGUUGUUUACAUCCAUGCAAAGUUUUUACAUGCUGACAUUUGGUUUUCAAUGGUCCGACCUUUACAAUUGAGGGUUCCCUAGCAUGCAGACGCAAAUAUGACUAUCCACAGGGAGUCUGCAUUUAAAAAAAAAAAUUAAAAUAAAUAAAAAAUCAUCCUGAGACGUGGCCUCCAAGGCAGAGAGCUCCGCUUGAGCACACCUCACGAAUCUCACCAGCUGUCUCGUCUGAUCUGUCAGCCGCCUGAGCCCAGGGCUUUGCUGCUUAAUGUCAGCAUUGUGAUCUUGCAAGAAUUAACUUGGGAAUCGUACGACAUUUUCAGAAAAAUGAGUCACUAUAAAUGCAGUAUUCACAUAAUCCGUUCCAGUGUUUGAAACUUGUCCAAAAGCUUCCAUCCUUACACUUCCAUGAUGCGGUGUCACAAAUGAGCGCUUUAACAUGUGAAGAAAAUUGUAAGAUUUAUGCCUGCUCUCUCUCUGGGCUCCGCUCACUGCCACCAAAGAAAAAAAUAAUUCACAGGCAUUAGGAAGCGUAGCAAGACAGGACGAAGUCACUACUGCUAGUCAGCGGCGAGACGGCAUGAUGCACGCUGACAGCCUUCAGCAAUGACUGAGUGGGCUUGCGGCUAUACUGUCGCACUGUUGCCAUGACAUCUGGAAUUUGCUAGGAGGUCUUGGCGGCUUUUGGUGCGAGAGGUCUGAUGACAGCUUCUGCAUUAAAGAUGCGAAAAUACGCCAUCAGAAGGCAACACAGAUAUUUGAGAUUUCAUGUCAACAUCCCGAGCAUCUGCUACUGCACAUCCUCUGGUGACUAAAUCUCCAGUCGGAAUGAUUUAGUGUUCUGUUGAUCUUGAAGAAGUGGAGGCAUAAUGGAUAUUGCUUGAGGUUUCCCGCCUACGCGGGCUUACGUGAAAGUUGAAACAAAAAGCAAACACAACGCAGGGUUUGAUGCAGGACUAGUUCGAAUUUUUGAUUGUCAAAUGGAGUAAGACUCCCCCGUCAGAUGAAAUUAGCACCAUUGUUUGUUGGCAUCAUCACAACUUACCAUUUUGUUAUAAAAUUAACUUUGGAUGUACAGUAAUUGAGUCAUUCAGCUCCUAAGCUGCAAGACUUCACUUAACAUUGCACAAAUGUGAUCGUUUAGCAUGACCUCCAUGUUCUUCCAUUUUCUCUUUGUCCAGCCCCGCCAAACAAAAUGUCCGGUGUUUGUCAUAAUAAGCCUUUCUGUCGCACUGCGAGGUAACAAUGACUGUUUAGUUGUCAAGCUGUCUUUAAUAAGUGCAGACUAUCUGUAGAGCGGACAUUGUGUUUGCUGCCUUGAAGUUCCUAGUGGGAAGUAAAUAGUUUGCCAGUAUGCUGCUGGUCCAUUGUUUGCCUGCUGCUUCUGUAAUCAGCUUCUGGGUUGCUCAAGACGCCCUGGAUCGCAUUGCUUGAUUCUGAUAUUGACAGACAUUUCUGAGCACUUGAAAAUGUGAUGCCUGUGUCACCGCAGUUAAAACUCUUCAUGUCUCAAAACUUUCUGGGAAUUGGCGAAACAAAUAUCAUGGCAUGGCAACUUUGAAAAAAGUGGUAAAAACACAAUGUCGUGAUAAAGAAUAUCAUAGAGCAUUUUUAGUUGGUUUAUUGGUUUGUAGUGUCUACAGCGGAAACUAUGGACUUGUUUGCCCCACCACAGGGUUUAGUUUGCGGGAUUAGUGUCGGAAUGGUGCAAGCAUAUAAAAAAGAUAACUAGGCACCAACUCCCGAAAUUCAUUAUGUCAAGCAUGAUACGCUUUGGGAAUUUAAAAAGACAAGAAAAGCAACACCAGGGGAAGGAAAUGUCAUUUUAUUCCGACUAUCAAAACUUGUCUCAUGCCUUAGGUCAUUAGUUCCCCAACAGAAUCAAUAAAUCAGACUUACUGGAUGUACUGACCUACUGUACCUAUGCCUACUUCCCUUUCUACACAGCCAUCUACUUAUGUCACCAGUAUGUGAUACAGGAGCCAAAACAAUCCUUCUUAACCCAAAUUCCAUCCUGCCUCAGGUGCCGCUAUGGGUGGCAACAUUUCAUGGAACUAAUCCUCAUGUUUGAUUACGCCGCCUCCUUCCCUCUGCUUCAUCCUCAUGCUGUGUCUGCGAGGCUGCGCAUCAUCAUCUAGUUUGGAUGUUUGCACACAGUUAUCUGACCUUUCCGGUAAUCCGGUCAUCGUCUCGCCUUCCCCAUCUGCGUCCAUUGCCAAUUUACUAGCACGCUUCCUUCCUCUUCGCUUUCCUCCCUUGCCUCGCCAUUCAUUAUCUCAUCCCUCCAUCCCCCGGUCGGCAUAAGUCCAAGCACCGCUUUCCCUUCCUGUUCUCCUCAUUGUCACUCGCCUUUUUGUGUGCCUGCUAUACUGUCAUUCACAAACGCUGUCAGGGCCCAAAAGUUAAUUUGCACCUUCACAGCAGUCUACACUGAAUCUUGGUAAGGGCACAGUUUUAACCUUGAUAGAACCGAGCGACUCUGGCAACAUGGCUAAGAUAGCUAGAUAGAUUGAUAAAUACUUGAUAUAUCCUGAAGGAAAUUCAAAUUAACCUUGUUCAAUUUGCAUCUUCAAGGGAGGACAUGUUUGUAAGACAUUCUGUGUUCGGAGAUGGAUCUGUGUGAAAUGUUGCGUGUUAAUUCAUCAUAGCAACCAAGAUUUUGGUGUUUGCUUGUAAACAAAAGGCCUCUAUCUGUGCUCAAUAGAUCAAUCCUUUACAGUCCUCGUCAGUUUGAGACGAGAGUUGCAGUACAAAAUCUAGCCUUACCAAAUACAGUAAUAUGAAGCUUGCUGCCUAGUUAGCACAUAACUUAAUUGCUAGUAUCGCUAUAGUUAGCAAUGAAACAUACUAGCAUAGUAUUCAUGCCGAGUUAAUAUAUUAACUGUAGUCAGCUAUAACUGACUAAUGAACCUUAGUUGCUCACAUGUCACGUUUAUUUGUUCAUGCGUGCAGCUGUAAAGUCCAAGAAAAGUCCAGCCUGUGCGGCAGUAAAAAUGUUCCCUUUGUCUGCUCUUCCUGGAAAAACGCUUAGUAAAUGUGACAAUAAUGGCGAGCUGGAUCAACACAAGGGCACGUCACUGAACAAUUGAGGCUGUUAUAUCACAUUUGAGAUUGGUGGAACAUUGCCUGAAGGUGAGGGUCACCAUAGAAACGCUCUGAUGGCCUUCAUGCAUCAGAGUCUGCCCUAGCCAAAUGAGGAUAUCCUGUUUUGAAUGAGACAAAAACCUGUUAUUUAACCUUUUACUAUGUACAUUUCAUGCCUCCUUAUGGACAAAUAUACAAGUCUCAGCACUGCAGUUUUUAGAAUCCCUUGAUCUGAUGCAAUUAUUUUUUUUUUGAAUUGUCCAUCAGCAUUCUGUGUUCAGCUCGGGGAUGCUUCCUGCAAAAAUGGGAGCAACAAUGAAUAAUUUAC